rnacentral:rRNA from 1 species
GACGAACGCUGGCGGCGUGCUUAACACAUGCAAGUCGAACGAAGAGCGAUGGAAGCUUGCUUCUAUCAAUCUUAGUGGCGAACGGGUGAGUAACGCGCAAUCAACCUGCCCUUCAGAGGGGGACAACAGUUGGAAACGACUGCUAAUACCGCAUACGAUCUAAUCUCGGCAUCGAGGAUAGAUGAAAGGUGGCCUCUACAUGUAAGCUAUCACUGAAGGAGGGGAUUGCGUCUGAUUAGCUAGUUGGAGGGGUAACGGCCCACCAAGGCGAUGAUCAGUAGCCGGUCUGAGAGGAUGAACGGCCACAUUGGGACUGAGACACGGCCCAGACUCCUACGGGAGGCAGCAGUGGGGAAUCUUCCGCAAUGGACGAAAGUCUGACGGAGCAACGCCGUGUGAGCGAUGACGGCCUUCGGGUUGUAAAGCUCUGUUAAUCGGGACGAAAGGCCUUCUUGCGAAUAGUGAGAAGGAUUGACGGUACCGGAAUAGAAAGCCGCGGCUAACUACGUG